rnacentral:lncRNA from 1 species
AACUCAAAGAUAUACACUUUUGAUAGAAAUAGGCUUCCUCAAAUUCUGAUUUUUACUAUAUCAAAAAUGGAUCUCAAGUAGAUACUAAAAAUCACGAGCAUAGCUUUUUCGCCUGAAAGUUGAUACUUGAUAAUACUUCGACCCUAUUUCACCUCGUGACUCCUUUCCUCAUUUGAUUGACUUCUAACACUCUUGAAUCUUCAUUCCAUUUCCCGUCUCAUCUAUGAAUUAUUUGCAACUUG